UUGUGGAGGAGGACGCCGAAGGUGGGGCUAAUGACUGGGGUGAAGUCGUAACAAGGUAGCCGUACCGGAAGGUGCGGCUGGAUCACCUCCUAACAGGGAGACAACAAAAUGUUUAAUAUUAUUAUUUUGUCACCUUAGGUCGAUCGGUAUCUCACGUUCUUAAUUUAUUAAGAAUUUCAUUUCCUAAGUUUUUCUAGGUCACACCCAUUAUUUUUCCUUGGCCAUUAGCUCAGGUGGUUAGAGCGCACCCCUGAUAAGGGUGAGGUCCCUGGUUCAAGUCCAGGAUGGCCCAUAUCUCUAUGUUGGGGGUAUAGCUCAGUUGGUAGAGCGCCUGCUUUGCAAGCAGGAUGUCAGCGGUUCGAGUCCGCUUACCUCCACUGAUUACCACCUCUUCCAUAAUCUUUAGAAAGGAAAUGUUUUGAGUUGUGAUCUAAUUCUGAACGAAUCUAGCUUCCUAAUGAAAUUAUUAAGAUGCUGGACUCAUUGAAUUAAAUUCAUUGUUUUCAGAGAACCUUGACAACUGCAUAGAUUUUUUUAAAGACAAUAAGCAUCUUUAGUGAUGCAGAUUUAUUAUUUGUGCGAAUGCAUUAAUAACAAUUCUAUUAAGCUGAUGCUUCAAUAUUUGAAGUUAUUGGUCAAGCUACAA
rnacentral:misc_RNA from 1 species